rnacentral:snoRNA from 1 species
UUUCAGUGAUGAUAACUGUCCAGUUCUGCUACUGAAUUUAAGCGAUGACAUUAAAGACUCUGAGGAAG